UGGAACAGGGUGCCAUUGAGGGUGAGAGCCCCGUGAGACGCGUGCGGAAGCUGUAAGGCCCUUCUGACGAGUCGAGUUGUUUGGGAAUGCAGCUCUAAGUGGGUGGUAAAUUCCAUCUAAGGCUAAAUAUUGGCGAGAGACCGAUAGCGAACAAGUACUGUGAAGGAAAGAUGAAAAGCACUUUGAAAAGAGAGUGAAACAGCACGUGAAAUUGUUGAAAGGGAAGGGUAUUGGGCUCGACAUGGGAUUUGCGCACCGCUGCUCCUUGUGGGCGGCGCUCUGUGCUUUUCCUGGGCCAGCAUCGGUUUUUGCCGCAGGAGAAGGCGUGCUGGAAUGUGGCUCUUCGGAGUGUUAUAGCCAGUGCGAGAUGCUGCGUGCGGGGACCGAGGACUGCGACAUCUGUCUCGGAUGCUGGCACAACGGCGCAAUACCGCC
rnacentral:rRNA from 1 species